ACCUUAACAAACCUACCUCUCAACCGCAAAUUCUCCCCGCUUUAAGGUGCAACAACGCAGCAGACCUUGAAAAUAUGCACCGCAAAGACAUUUCGCUGGAAGAAUGUUGGAAAAGCGCAGGAAGAUGUUCGCUUCAUUCCACCCAGUAAUAGUAGGUCAUUAAUUUCCUGUCAGUAUUUGCUCCAGCAAAGCAUUUUCAGUUUGCAGUUUUUACACCACCUCACACCGCUACGGAGCGUGUCAAGGUAAAACAGAGCAAAUGGAAAGCUGCAGUACUUGUCACAUUUGUCUGCGUUGUCCCCGAACGAGUCGCUCUGGCACUUGCUCCAGUGAGAUGCUCGAGCAGUAACUGUUUCAAGGUUCCGGUGGGCAGCGCUGGGACGCUCUAGGACGCUUCUUUCGGUGCCGUCAGUUUCGUUUGGAUGAUUCAAUCAGAACCGCGGAGUGAAUGUGAAGCAAGACAAUAAAAGAAUCUUCACAACAAACAGGAUGCCCUGCCCUGUCCUAUUUUAGGCUAACCCAGCAGGAUUUCUUUCGCCAUCAUUUUAGAAAUGCUCAAGCCCUAUCUCAUGCUAAUAACUCAGUGGAAUAAAAAUAUCAAAC